GCGUUGUCCGGAAUUAUUGGGCGUAAAGAGCUCGUAGGCGGUUUGUUACGUCGGCUGUGAAAACCUGGGGCUCAACUCCGGGCCUGCAACCGAUACGGGCAGACUAGAGUUCGGCAGGGGAGACUGGAAUUCCUGGUGUAGCGGUGAAAUGCGCAGAUAUCAGGAGGAACACCGGUGGCGAAGGCGGGUCUCUGGGCCGAUACUGACGCUGAGGAGCGAAAGCGUG
rnacentral:rRNA from 1 species